UUUCCGUAGGUGAACCUGCGGAAGGAUCAUUAAAGAGAUAGGGUCUUCAUGGCCCGACCUCCAACCCUCUGUUGUUAAAACUACCUUGUUGCUUUGGCGGGACCGUCUCGGUCUCCGAGCGCACUAACCCUCGGGUUGGUGAGCGCCCGCCAGAGUCUAACCAAACUCUUGUAUUAAACCAGUCGUCUGAGUAUAAAAUUUUAAUUAAAUUAAAACUUUCAACAACGGAUCUCUUGGUUCUCGCAUCGAUGAAGAACGCAGCGAAAUGCGAUAAGUAAUGUGAAUUGCAGAAUUCAGUGAAUCAUCGAAUCUUUGAACGCACAUUGCGCCCCUUGGUAUUCCGAGGGGCAUGCCUGUUCGAGCGUCAUUACACCACUCAAGCAUCGCUUGGUAUUGGGAACGGUCCGUCGAAAGGCGGGCCUUCCUCGAAGACCUCGGCGGGGUUCAACCAACUUCGGGCGUAGUAGAGUUAAAUCGAACGUCUUAUAAGCUUGGUCGGAUCUCAUUGCCGUUAAACCUUUAAAUUUUCUAGGUUGACCUCGGAUCAGGUAGGGAUACCCGCUGAACUUAAGCAUAUCAAUAAGCGG
rnacentral:rRNA from 1 species